UACGUAGGGGGCAAGCGUUGUCCGGAAUCAUUGGGCGUAAAGAGCGUGUAGGCGGCCCGGUAAGUCCGCUGUGAAAGUCGGGGGCUCAACCCUCGGAUGCCGGUGGAUACUGGCGGGCUCGAGUACGGAAGAGGCGAGUGGAAUUCCUGGUGUAGCGGUGAAAUGCGCAGAUAUCAGGAGGCACACCGAUUGCGAAGGCAGCUCGCUGGGACGUCACUGACGCUGAGACGCGAAAGCGUGGGGAGCAAACAGG
rnacentral:rRNA from 1 species